AUUACCCUGCUUUCCCUUUCAGCUUUUUUUUUUUUUUUUUUUUUUUUUUUUUUUUUCCUCUCGCUCUUUUUACCUCGUCUUCUUCCUGCCAGCGAUUACUGUGGGUGCAGCGGAGCUACGGGGUCGUGUCUCUUUCUAGGCGAAGUGUAGCAUGAGGAGCUCUGCGUGUUCGGAGCCCUCCCAAAGCCCCUUGCCCGCCAUUUUCUCUCAGCGCCACAGUAGCGGGGGGGAAGCUUCCUCUGGUGGUGGAGGGAAAAAGCCAUGAAUGCUGUUCUGCAUCCAGGCGCGCUGUGCAGGGCAAAGGCCCUGUUGUCUUGCCUGCCAGGCCCGUGGGAAGGCGCAGAGCUGGGCUUGCUUCUGGAGAAGGGCCUCUGUACCUUUCUUUGCCUGCAGAACACAUUUAAUUAAUCCUCGGCCUCAGCCAGCACCACAGGCAUUUGGGAUCGUAUGAACACAGAAGGCUAAGAUCUUUACAAAGACCAAAUUUAACUUACUACUCCUCUCCCAAAUGUUUCACUAGAAAUGUGAACCUCAUUGAUGAUGUUAGUAUCCUGUUCAGAUGCAGAAGGCAGCACUAGGAGCUAAAAGGGUGUGUGUUCUCUGCAACCUUUGUUUAAAGUCACAGAAACUAGAAAUGGUCAAGGCCUGAAGACAUCCUCAUACUUCCACGUUUAAAGCAGAUGUGCUGUUUCUAGAUCCUGAUCUGGUGCUCCGUGUAGAUGGGUCCUCGUACUGUUUGAACAGCAACUGGGCUACGGAUUACUCCAUAACUCCUGUGAAUGAAGCAGUGGGGGCUUCACCACUCAGUCCAAAGCUGAGCACACAGCAGCAGGAUGGAUUCCAUUAACAAAGACUUGCCAGUCGUUCAAAGAAAAGGCUGUAAAUAUUUACACUGAAUUUCGGUAUGGAUUUGGAGCAUGCCAUGCCACUGGGCAGCUAUGGAAGCAGUGUGAGUGUAUAACUUUUAUUGUGAGUAAAGUACUGGACUGUUAAAAGCCAUACAACUGCCAAAGAAACUAGCUAUCACUCAUCAGCCAGCCCACCCCAGCAAAAGCACAAAUAGCAAAUGUUCUAGCUAUUGCAAAUGUUCCAGCUGAAGCCCAGCACGACCGUCCUAUGAGCCACUGGGCUUACAAGCAGUGCAGCAGUCUGACCUGGUGUUGCUUGUUCCUGAAGAGCUGUGUUUGACUGUUUCUGCUGAAGGAGCUGGCUCGUGGCAGAAGAUUUAAGCAACCGAAAGACUCACAGGAAAUAUGGAGAGCAGGUAUGGAAAAACCUUCCUAUUUUACCAAAGCAAUGCCUGAAUCCCAUAGCAAAAAUGCAACAUCAUCCAGGGCAUUUUGGGCAUGCUGCACUAUCCAGACAGUGUUAAAGAAUUGGUUUGCGCCAGGAAAUUAUGCCACAGCCAAAUAAAUAACCGUGUCUUGCACACACUACCUUUAGCCUUCAUGAAUCUUGGCAAAGACCUCAACAAACAACAGAACUGUGGAAUACGAUCCGGAAGACCAAUGCAACUCUCUGGAACUGAGUUAUCCACCCAUGUAAAAGAAGAUAAAGAUCUUCUAACUCGGCAGCAUGAAAUGUAAGCAUUGGAACUACGUAGGCACCGUUUCCUGCUUCCUGGUCUCCUGGAACCCACACCAGUGAUCUUUUCGGAGUUCUUGAAGGUAGUUGCUAAUAGCUUUACGUUGCUGAUGUUAACUGUGUAAGCCAUCUGGUUACAGCUGACAUUUUGGAGAAGAAGAAAGCAAAAAAACCCCAAGGCUUUGGUCUUCCUCACGUGACUUGAUAAUAGUUUCCUCACCCACCUGAGAGCAAGUUGGCUCUUCCCCGGUACUCUUCAUGUAAGCUGCUUGUUAUGCUCUAUGACUCUGUGAUAGUUUUAGCUUCUUUGGUAUGUUAACCUUUCUGGAUCUUCCCUACAUAUUACAAUAGUGACUUCAUUGUCAAUUUUACUAAUUUAACCUAGAUUCUGCUUUUUUUCAAAAGGUGCAAGCUAUUGGAAUGGUUUAGAUGUAGCCAGACUCUUCUCUUGCUAGCUUUCUUUCUCAUUGCAGUGGUCUGUUUGUGGCCUUCAUGUUGAUUCUAUAGGAAAUGGAAAACUUUCCACAGUGUAUUUCCUUAGAUUUGCUGCAGUGGUGUUUGGCAUUCAAACUGUGAGUUUACUGAAACUUAAUUUCUUCAAGUCUGUUGGUUUGAUUUUUCCUUCCUUCACUUUCGAAGAGUCAUUAACUUCCUUAAUGACCACCAUCACUCACAUAGUCUCCCAAAUUCCUUUCUGAGUAGAUAUCUUGCUAUUGCAAGUCUCAUUAUCACCAGUUCCUAUGCUUUGGAUGAUUUUAUUCAAAUUUAAGUACCAUACAUUUGAUCUUUUUCAUUUGUGGGUUGCUAAUGGGUCUUUGUUGUGACAGUGUUAUUUUCCCUUCCUUUUUUCCAUUAUCCAAAUAUUUUCACUAGCUCUGUACCUUAUGUUCCUUUUCUCCUAUUUAUGCUUCCAGAACAAACUCUACAUUUCCAUAGCAAUAACCAGUUAUGACAAUUUAUUCAUAAUUUUGGUUAUGAAUAUAAUGACUUUCAGUUCCUCCUGUUUAUUACUCAUAUUCUUACAAAAGCUUGCAGCAUCUGAGUACAAUGCCAGGGGAAUUUCUUUCUUAUUAUUCCCCUAUUGUAAUAUUCAGUAAAUAGUUCCCCUCCUCCCCCUUAAUUUUUCUUCUUUCCCCACACUUUUGUGGUUUUAUCUGAACCCUGUGGUGUGAUAAAAAUAAUCUGAAGAUAAUUUAAUUUAUUCCAGCUGCAGACAGCUACGAAUGAUGUGUUAUAGUAACAACAACAACGUGGGGGACUGCUCUAGCAUGCAACUGGCUAAAUAGUCCUGCCUUUCUUUUCUCAGGGAAAUGCUCUCCUUUGUCUGCUCGCCUUGCCAGCUUUGGGACUGGUUUGUUACAGCAUUACAAUGCAAAAAGACCGUGUAACAAAUAAACCAUCUCUCUGCCCGUUUGCAUA